rnacentral:rRNA from 1 species
GUAGGUGGCGAGCGUUAUCCGGAAUCAUUGGGCGUAAAGAGGGAGCAGGCGGCCGCAAGGGUCUGUGGUGAAAGACCGAAGCUAAACUUCGGUAAGCCAUGGAAACCGGGCGGCUAGAGUGCGGAAGAGGAUCGUGGAAUUCCAUGUGUAGCGGUGAAAUGCGUAGAUAUAUGGAGGAACACCAGUGGCGAAGGCGACGGUCUGGGCCGCAACUGACGCUCAUUCCCGAAAGCGUGGGGAGCAAAUAGGAUUAGAUACCCUAGUAGUCCACGCCGUAAACGAUGGUCACUAAGUGUCGGGGGUCAAACCCCGGUGCUGCAGUCAACGCAAUNAGUGACCCGCCUGAGUAGU